rnacentral:lncRNA from 15 species
AGGUGGUUUGCAUGUCACGGAAAAUGUAUAUCAAAUGUUAACAAAAGUAUCUUCAUUUUCUAUUACAGUACUGUUGUUGUGUUGUGUUGUGUUGUGUUGUGUUGUUUUGUGUUGUGUUGUCCUUUCACACAAUGUUGAGUUCAAAUGUCACUAACUACAAUUACAGGUUUUGAAACCAACACAGAGAGAAAUAGUCUUUCUUGACUGCAAAUGUGCUGAAGCAUCGUUAAGAUUUGGUUAUAAGGAGAUGAGGGGACUUCUGAGGUCACUAACAAACACUUUUUUUUGUGUGUGCUUUUUGGAGUUCAUGUUCCAAAGCUGUUCUAAAGAGUUCCAUAUUUUGUUUUUUAACCAGGUCAUGUUCAGAUCUGUGUGACAGCCUUUUUAUGGUGCAACAUAAGUAUAAUUGUAGUUUUGUGUAUCAAAUCAUGGUUAUUAAUUUUAUAUUAGUUUUACAGAUUUAACAUGAUGACCUACCAACAUUAACAUAUUUCAGACAAUUGAGUCAAGAAACUGGCACCAUAAAAAAGCCUUUUGAAAUGAUGUGUGGAGUGUGACUGCAUGUAAAGGGAUGCAUGGAUGGUCUGUCCCGAAUCGGAACCAGUGACGCAUGUUCAUGAAAAGAAACCAUAUUGAUCAUUUUAUUAUCUAUUACUAUCUAUUAUUUAUCUUUUAAUGCAACUGUCUUUUAGAAACCUUUCCCAGUCACUAAAUCCUGGCAACUGGACAGAGAAAACUGGAUUACAAAUUCAGGGUUUUCCACGACAACCGUACGGGAUUGACUGUGGCAUCUUCAUGUUGAUGAAUGCCCUUUACACCACACUGGAUGCUCCCCAUGACUUUUCUAUUGUAAGUUGAUUCAUGCAAUCAAAGUAAGCUCAAAAUUACAACAACAAAACAUUUAUUAUGACAUAGUGUGAGUUUAUUUUCUUUUUGUUUAUUUUUUAUUUUUUCAGAUGGACAUGCCACUUUUGCGACAGUGGUGGUGUAUCAUCCUUAUGGAAAAUUUUGACCUUGGAAGCCAUGGAAAGCUGUUCGCCCACUGGACAGAUGCAUCAAAAGCCCUCCUGCGAGGUGAGGUGCCACCAGUGUUUAGGCUGAUGAAAAGGAAGGUGGAUGACAUAACUGAGGUCAGAUUUUGAUUUUGUUUGAGUUCCAUCUGAGUUUUUCUUUUGUUUCAGGUCAGAAACCAACAUUUCCAUUUCCCUAUUUUUUUUACCAAUCUUUUUUCCAAUUGUACUGCAAUUGUGGGGUCGCUUUAAAGAAUAUGCCAUUCACAAGUUAAGGUCAGACCUGCUGUCUGCAGUUUAAAAAUAAAGUGUCUAGAUAAUGCAUGAUUGGAUUGGAAAAUGAACAUUUGUUGAGCUCUCUAAUAUGUCUAGGUGGACAUAUUAGAGGAGGGCACUGAUGGAUCUUUUCUUUUUCUUCUUUUUGGAGCUUGUGUUUUGAAUAUUACAACUGAUAAUUUU